AUCACCCCUAUUAAUGACAUGUACGUAUAGUUAGUAGCAUAUAAUAUAACGUUUAGCUGCUUCCGGUUUUCUAAAUAUAGCUGCAGCGGGAAUUGGUGAGUUAAUGGUGGCAUUUUGCCAAGCGUGAUUACUGCCUGUUUUUAAUUAAUAUUGCUUUUGUUUUUGUUUUCGUUUAAAAGUUAUAAUGUUUAGUAAUGGAAAUGGAUUGUCCGACUACAAUUAAACACUCUAACAAUGUUAUGCCCUGUAAUGCUCUGAAACGCUAAACCAUACCCCAGCACACAUUUUGUAAUGUGUAAGUUAAACACACGCAACAAUAUUCACAAACAAGUCAUGCGAUAUGUAUACUUUAAUUUUAAAGCAUUUGACGAUGUGGGAAAGCAGAUUUCGACCAUAUGAUAAUUAUUUUGUGUACAUACGUUUACCUACAAUACAAAAUAAAAGCCCCUCCCUCCCCCCUCCCCCCCCCGACUCCCCCAACCCAUCCCUGAACAAACAAAAAGCAUACCAUUUAAAUAAUAAUGAAUAACUGCUUUGUGUAACAGUUUGAGACAACAACCCCACAUAAAGUAACAAAAUUUGGACAUACCCACCACCUCAUGCAUUAAAUGAUAUUUGAAUGGCCUAAACAACAAUUGUUAAAGCAGUAAAAUACUAAAUAGUUAAUACAAAAAUUCAUUAAUGGUAAUUUUUAUAUGCCCAUCUAUGAUGGAUUGUAUUAUGGUCUGCUAACAUAAUUAGAAUUGAAUCAUACCCGUAACAUAUUCAUUACUAUCUGUGGUUUUCCAUCAAACUCCUGAUGGGUGUAUCGUGUACCUUGCUGGUACUCUUGGUUUUGGUGUUUUUUACAAACAUUAAAUAUUACACAUUUUCUCAUUUCUUUUUUCAGGUUAUUGUACAUCUUCAAAACUGUGCAACUGAAUACAUACUGGUAUCCUUCUUUUUAAUUACAAAUAUAUACAGAGUGAUAUAAAUUUUGUUCAACACUUUUAAAUUUAACUAUGGCAGAAAGAAAAUUAGCAAAAUUUAUUGCAGAACAUCAGGUUAAUAUUCCUUCAGUAGAUCCCAGCUGUUUUGCUGUUUUAUUAGCUGACAGCAGGGGAAUAUAUUUGAAAAAUGCACAUACGGAAUUGCAAUUGCCUGUAGUGUUCCUUUGUGAAAAAGGUGCUCGUACAGCAGUACUUUUUAAUAUUUUGAAAAGCAGGUUGCCUAAAUUAAUUAAAGAGCAUGGCAAACCACCUGUUGUGUAUGUCUGGUCAGGUACCUGCGACAUUACCAAAAUCUUUUCUAAGGAAAGAUACAUUACAUUGAGAGAUGAAACCUCUCGAACAGUACAAGACAUUGUCAGCAUUUACAAGCAGUUAAUGGCCUUUGUCUUAAAUGUGGGUGGGAAAGUUAGGUUUGUCGGUACGACAUUCCACUCAGCUGUUGACUGGAAUGCAUCGAAAGUUAAUUUUUAAUCAUGGAUAGUACAUUUUUAAAAUCACUGAUCCAUGGCUAAGGGAUUUUUUUUAUAACAUUCUAGAAGCCCUGAGUAUAUGUGAACAACAGUUUCACUAAUUGUUGUAUGGAUAAUUAAAUAAUUAAUUAUUAAAUGUAAUGGUUGAAAAUCUAGCUGGGUUACAGCGACCCCAAGAUGAUUGACCACAUUUUAUAAGUCAUUGGGAAUCUGGUUUUAACUACUUUCAGUUAAUACAUUAUCUUUCUGUCAGUCAAGGUGGCACUAGAAGAAGCGUCUUUCUUCUUGAAUGCAAAAUAAAACUUGGUAGUUAGAAAAAACUUUUUGUUCUCAUACCCUGACUGAUGACCAGUUAUGGUUUCAUGUAUAAAAAAUUACAUGAAAGGCCUAUUGAGAAUAAAAAUUAUUUUAGAAAUGCUGACAAUUAGGCCGAAACCUUUGGGGUGACGCAAUAUUAAAAGAUAUUGAAAUUGAAAUUGAAUGUGUUGGUAAAUUUUUCAAUUUUCUACAAUAAACUUUUUUUAAAAUUAAAAGAUUCAGUACUCCAUAAAUUAUUCAAUGGAUUGUCUUUUCUAUAAAAUUAAAGUAACAGUAUUGUACUUUUAAGUUAGUGUGUAUGUACACUUAACUUACGUCACCACAAAGGUA
rnacentral:lncRNA from 1 species